ACGGGAGGCAGCAGUGGGGAAUAUUGCACAAUGGGGGAAACCCUGAUGCAGCGACGCCGCGUGAGUGAUGAAGUAUCUCGGUAUGUAAAGCUCUAUCAGCAGGGAAGAUAAUGACGGUACCUGACUAAGAAGCACCGGCUAAAUACGUGCCAGCAGCCGCGGUAAUACGUAUGGUGCAAGCGUUAUCCGGAUUUACUGGGUGUAAAGGGAGCGUAGGUGGUUUGGCAAGCCAGAAGUGAAAACCCGGGGCUCAACUCCGCGGAUUGCUUUUGGAACUGUUGAACUAGAGUGCAGGAGGGGUAAGUGGAAUUCCCAGUGUAGCGGUGAAAUGCGUAGAUAUUGGGAGGAACACCAGUGGCGAAGGCGGCUUACUGGACUGAUACUGACACUGAGGCUCGAAAGCGUGGGGAGCAAACAGGAUUAGAUACCCUGGUA
rnacentral:rRNA from 1 species